rnacentral:lncRNA from 1 species
GCUAAAAAAAUAAAACCACACAUAGCUUAAAAAAAGUAACAAUGACUAGACAUAGCAUGUCAUGAAAAUCAACUGUUUCUUUAAGCUUUUGUAGAUAAACCGAAAAUUGACAAAUUGAAAGUUCCACCUAAAAAUGCAUCACUGUUGGAUCCUCCCAAAUAAUUUAAUAGAAAUUAUUUAAAUUGCAUGUUCUAAAUCAACAGGUAUUAAAAGAUAUUACUGGGGUUGUUGCGAAUAGCGAGAAAGAGGGUUUUGUUGCUGGGAAAACUGCUGAUGCAUUGGGUUUCCCUGACGCCCUUGCUGAGUUUGAUACAUCAUAGCGUUUGGCUGUGAAUAAAGUCUCUGUUGCUGAUCGAAUUGCCGAGGAGAUCCAGGUCUUCUUGACAUACCAUAUGCAGAAGGAUCAAACAUUUGAGACUGUUGCAUAUUAGGUCGCAUAUUACCUUGAAAUUGGGGCAUUUGAUAUCCCAUAGGGGAUGACUGCAAUCGGAAAGCUGAGGAUCCAGAUUCGAGAUGCGUAGGUGGAUAACGGUAUAAAUGCUCAGCCAUGUACGGUGCUACCAUGACCGGUCUUUGCAUAUUCAUCUGGUUAACAUUUCCGGAGUUAUCUGACAUUUGUAGUUGUGGAUAUUCAGAGCCCAGACGCUGCUGUUUAUACAUAGAUUGAUCAAUAUCUUGCAUUUGCUGCAUUCUGGAUGGAUGAGAGGAAUACUGCAUUGAAGGCUGACUUGACUGUUGAUUUGAAAAUGGAAGUUGACUACCAGUUGGCAUUGGAAACCCUUGAUUGGGUAAGCCAGCUUGAGUGGGGAAAGGUUGUAAACCAUUCAUACCACCCAUAGCAGCAACUUGAGUAGCAGACAUAUGAGCUUGACUGGAAGAUGCGCGGGAAUUAUUGUUAUCUUUAGAUAUAAUAUCAAUUAAGAAAUCAUACAUUUCAGAUUUUGAUACUGCAUUUGCAAUAUCGGAUCUUUGUAGUGUCCUUCGUUGAUUUUUUUUGGCAUGAAGCCAAGCCCUCAUAGUAAGCUCUGCAAUAAAUAUCUCACUUCCUUUAGCGAACAGAAAAGGAGCUUCUGCCGAGAUCAUUUUAUUCUAAAAAAAUUAGUAAAAGUUAAUGUCAAAAAGUAUUCGAAUACUCAAAGUAACGUACCUUCACAUCAUCGUCAGUUUUCAUAACUUUCUGCAUAAUCAAUAGUUAGUAAUUAAUUCAGAAAAAGUGGCAUACCUUAAUACGAGCUAAGGGAAGAUGCAGAGUUUUUACAGCUUGAUCGUCAUGUUCCAAUGUAUCGAUGGUUUUUUGCCAAUAUUCAGCAAGGGCUUGUGCAUCACUGCCAACAAGACCUUGAGUAACAUUAUCAAAUGGACUAGCAACCUCAAUGGGUGCACUAGCGUUGUAGUGAUUGACAGCAGUUGGAUCAACAUCGGGGACUGGUUGUUGGAAGCGAGAAACAGAAUCUUGACCAUAACCUAUCCGUACCUGAGAAUUAGGAUUGCCAGAGGGAUCAACAUAUUCUCCUAAACCUUCGGGAAAGCCUUGUUUCAAGGAAUAGGAAUCAGGAAUAGAAUUCAUUUUGCAAUGAAUCUUAAUUGAAAAACGAAAAAAAGUCUACAGAAAGGCAAUUUAGUUUAAAAAGAAAACUGGAAACGUAAAGGCCUUUGCCAAUUAGAUAAGAGAUCAAUGCAAUCUCACUGGUGACAGGUUUAAAAAAACGACAAUGACAAAAAUUGUAACUAUGCCGGGAUCUAACAAAUACCAGUUUCCUAAAAACAAAGCUGUUAAAGAAACUGACAAUAAUUUAAGCUAAAGAAUUUCAAAUCGAAAAUCUAAAUAUUAAGAGGCGAUAAAGAUGCGGAUUAAAGAAAACUUCCAAUACCUUGAUGUACAGCUUAACAAAAUCGUAACCAAGAUAAGUAGAAAUAAAAUAGAAAGGGAGCGGAGUAGUCUCCGGUAAAAUGGGGAAUUAAACUUAUAUGAGAGGUGAGCAGGAGACGAAACAGGGAAGUAAAACAAAUUGACGUCAAGUUGAAGAGUGGAACGGAAAGAAAAAAAUAAAAAGUUUUACAAUCGAAAGGAACACGAACGGCUAAACACGAGGCUUAGUUGCAAUAUCUAAAAAGAUAAAUACCAAUCGUCUUAAUUCACGAAAAACUCGUAGAAUGAGUAAGACAAAGCAACAAGUGCAGUUACUAACGUAUCUCUAACACAUUAACUUCUUAAAACAAAGAACUUCAAUAAAGAACACUAGUAAAGCACCUUAACUCGUCGAAGUGUCUUGAAUUAUCUAUGUAGCGUAUUACACCUGGCUUAAUUAAGUAUAUAGAGUGCAAAAACACUCAAUAUAGCGAAAAUCGGUACGAUUGAAUUUAUUGGUGGCUGGCAGAAGAUGGUUGGCUGUCA